rnacentral:misc_RNA from 1 species
ACACAAGUAGCAUGCAGCCUAGAAGAAGGUACAUACAGAGGACAUUGCUCGUGACACUACAGAAGCAAAUACGGCUGGAUAUCUGGAAAUGCAAAAAAGGGAUGCACAAAGCAAUGAAAAAUUACCAGUAACUUUCCUUUGCGUUAAGCAACUUGCUCCUAUAAAGCCACCAAUUCACCAUUAUCUAACACCCUCCAUCAAACCCUCCAACUCUCUACGACCAAACCUCUG